GUCAACAUCACGAGAAAGACAACUUGGGUACAUUUGAAAGAACUUACUGAACUAUAAUUUACAUUUGACGGUGACUUUUAAAAGGUGAAAAGAGGACAGGAGCUACAAAAGAGAAAAAAAAAACAGAAGUGGGACUGAAGAAGAGAGGAAGAUUGAAGAAAAAAGUCUGAAGACGCUUGACAAAGUCCUGCAGGAGACCAGCCAUGGAGGAGGAUUACAAGAGACCACCACCAUCCUAUGAAGAAGCUAUAACCGAGCAGCACACGAGCAACACUAGUCAGAGCCGCACUGCUGAUAACAGGCAGGGCUGCUGCUGCAGAUGUUGCAUUAGCACCAAGAACUGUCUGAUGAGUCCAGAGUGCGGUCGAGCUCUUAACAUCGCCAGCGUGGUUGCCAUGUGUGGCAUGUGUAUUCGAAUGUUUGUCUAACACAGUCUCCUGUGGACCAUUUAUUCCAGAUCUCUCAUCCAAUGGUGGCCUUCUCAAAUUAAAAAGGAAACAAAGACAUUUGCUCUGUUCCAAAACCUAGUGAUCUGCAACAUGUAUAAGCGUUCCCCCAAUACGAAUCCCGAUGCUGUUCCAAAAAGGAUGCAGCACUGCAUUUAUCCUUAGCAGAUAAGGUAAUCCCAGAACGAACUGACUAAAAUUUCCAUUUUCGAAUAGGAAACCAAGUUAUAAGGAAUUUUCUUGAGAGCAAAAGAUUUCCCCAGGCAGAUUUCAGUUCAAGUUGAUAACACAAAUUCAUCGUGUUGAAUUGACCAACAGGAAGAUGUCUGGUUUGAAAAUUAAUUCUGUAUGAGCUAACAACAUGCAAUGACAAUGGGCCUUUUUUUGUCUGCAAAAUUUUGCUAAUGUGACUGUACCUUUCCAGUAUGUAAUUCCAUUUUGAAAGACAGUAGUGUUAAAUAGUUGUACUCUCUAAUCCAAGUACUUUGUUUAUGUAGAGCUUUAUACAAUAUACUUUGCACAAUACUAAACAGGAAGGAAACAGAAUCAGUGAUGCAAACUUAAAAAAUAAGAGGCCAUCCAAAUAGGCCCGUAACCAGCUA
ensembl:lncRNA